rnacentral:rRNA from 1 species
GACGAACGCUGCCGGCGUGCCUAAUACAUGCAAGUCGAACGAACCGCGACUGAGUGCUUGCACUUGGUCAAGGUGAGUGCGAACGGGUGAGUAACACGUGGGUAACCUACCUCAUAGUGGGGGAUAACAGUCGGAAACGACUGCUAAUACCGCAUAGGACAUGGAAUCACAUGAUUCUGUGAGGAAAGGUGGCGCAAGCUAUCGCUAAGAGAUGGACCCGCGGUGCAUUAGCUAGUUGGUAGGGUAAGGGCCUACCAAGGCGAUGAUGCAUAGCCGACCUGAGAGGGUGAUCGGCCACAUUGGGACUGAGACACGGCCCAAACUCCUACGGGAGGCAGCAGUAGGGAAUCUUCCGCAAUGGACGCAAGUCUGACGGAGCAACGCCGCGUGAGUGAAGAAGGUCUUCGGAUCGUAAAGCUCUGUUGUUAGAGAAGAACAGCGCAUAGAGUAACUGUUAUGCGUGUGACGGUAUCUAACCAGAAAGCCACGGCG